CUAGUGAUUCAUCAAAACUUCAUGAACAUUCAUAAAAUACUUUUAAUGAACAGUUCAUGAAUUAAAUUCAUGAACCUUCAUUUAUGAAUUAUUUAUGAAUUUUCAUGUACCAUUCAUGAACAUUCACGAACCAUUCAUGAUAGUUCAUGAAGUCAUGAAUUUCUUCUCGCCGGGGUAUACAUUCAUGUAUGGGACUAUAUAUAUAACUAAUCAAAUGAAAUAUAAGGGGAGUCCAUGGGGUGACCCACCCCCUCCUGUUUGGGAACUUACGAAACGGUCGAGAUCCCCACCCCUAAACAAUAUAUAUUCAUGUAUGGGUCAAUAUAACUAAUUAAAUGAAAUAUAGGGGAGUCCCCCUACCCCCUCCUGUUUGAGAACUUGGAAACCGAUGAGAUCCCCACCCCUAAACCAUAUAUAUUCAUGUAUGGGACAAUAUAACAAAUCAAAUGAAAUAUAGGGGAAGUCCCUGGGGUCAUCCUAUCCCUUCCUGUUUGAGAACUUGAAAACCCUCGAGAUCCCCACCCCUAAACCAUAUAUAUUCAUGUAUGGAACAAUAUAACAAAUCAAAUGAAAUAUAGGGGAAGUCCCUGGGGUCACCCUACCCCUUCCUGUUUGAGAACUUGAAAACCCUCGAGAUCCCAACCCCUAAACCAUAUAUAUUCAUAUACAAUGUAACCAGACAAUAUAACAAAUCAAUUACAUUUACUAUGGGCUGGUCAGUCAGACCUCACCUUUGAUCCUUGUAGUAGUGAACAUUUGUCUGAUUUGUGUCGCAUAACUAUUGUACUAUAGAACACAUACUCAGUUUUCUUUACAGGGAAACCAGUCCAUUCAUACUAUUACAUGUUCGUACUAAGUCAACACGUACUACUAACAGUCAACUAAAACCAACGUUAAAUACCAACUAGAACAACUACAAUCAUUGCGAACUUGUACCACUGCAGACUCACCAUAAAAAAUAUACAUUUAUAUAUUCAUUGCUAUUGAAACCUUGAUCACAUAUAAAUUAUUUGCCUUAAUAAUUAAUUCAUUAGAUAAACAUAAAUGUACAAUAUAUGAAUGUUUAAUGCCACAUCAGAGGCGGAUUUAGAGGGUUUUUCAGUGCCCCCCCCCCUUUCCAUUUUUGAGAAAAAAAUUGGUUGAUUAUAUAGGGAAUCACUGAAGCAUGACUGGAGCAGGUCCCUGUUAGGCAGGCAGUGGGCCCCCACUUAUGAAAAUUUCUGGAUCCGCCACUGCACAUAAUUACGUUUGCCUGGUUUUUGGUUAACUGCCUUCAGCGCUUACAGCGCUUUGAUUUAUUAUGGGCCCAGUUUUUAAGUUUGUCAAAAUUGGGGUCCAAAAUUAAACUUUGUUUAAAUAAUGGGCUACAUUAAGCUUAGUCUAAAGGG
rnacentral:lncRNA from 1 species